rnacentral:rRNA from 1 species
AAGGUAAGGAAUAACGUCGAGGAUCGGCGACUAAUACCUCAUAAUGCAGCGGAUCCGCAUGGAUAUGUUGUUAAAGGUUUACCGCCUUGGGAUAGGCUUGCGUCUGAUUAGCUAGUUGGUGUGGUAAUGGCACACCAAGGCUACGAUCAGUAACUGGUCUGAGAGGAUGAUCAGUCACACUGGAACUGAGACACGGUCCAGACUCCUACGGGAGGCAGCAGUGAGGAAUAUUGGGCAAUGCACGGAAGUGUGACCCAGCAACGCCGCGUGGAGGAUGAAGGUAUUCUAUAUCGUAAACUCCUGUGAGAGCAGACGAAAGACAGAUUAUUAAUUUGGAUGACUGUAUGCUCAGAGGAAGCCCCGGCUAACUACGUG